CAGAGCAUGCACGCACUCCACCCCCACCGUGUUCCUACGGAGCAGCAGACGCAGCCUUCUUCCUUAAAUACGCUCGCCCUUUCCCACCCCCUCAGAAGAUGAUGAAAAUAAGAAUCAGAGUAGGAGUGGGAGUAGUGUGCGCAUGGCGGGUUUAAGCGUUCUAUUAGAAACCCAAGAGACGUUCCCAAAAGACACCCAUAUCAUAAGCAAAAUUUCCCUCAAGAACUAUACUUCCUCCGUAACUUCUUGUUCUACCCGGAGGAGCACUUUUCUGGAAGACUGUUACCUCUGCAGGAGAAGACUUCAACACGGCAAAGAUAUCUACAUGUACAGAGGGGACCGAGCCUUCUGCAGCGAAGAGUGCCGGCGCCGGCAGAUAUUUAUGGACGAGGAGAGCGGGAAGAGAGACAACUGCUCCCUGGCCACCGCGGCGAGCGGGAAGCACCCGGUGGGGCGCCGCGGGGGGAGGGCAACCGCCAGGCGACGGGCGCUCGCCGGUGGUUUUGCUCUUUAGAAGCCGCAGUUGGCAGGAAGAGGCAAGGCUCUUUAGGUCCUUUUCGAGAGCUCUGUUGUCUAUACGGAGGGCAGUGUAAGAACCGAGGAAAGACCACCGAUUGCACAAUCCUCUAGAAAUCGAGUGACUGAUGCGGCGUGAGCUCUCCAGAUAUGAAAAUGGAAUGCUCUUUAGGUCUAUCA